CCGAAAACCCGAUUGGGAUUUAAAACGUGACGUUGCCAAGAAAUUAGAAAAAUUAGAGAGGCGCACUCAACGGGCAAUCAUUGAAUUGAUACGUUCACGUCUUCAGGAGGAAGGUAAUCUUGCCGAAGUUGUAAGUGCCGUUACAACUGAACAAGGAUUUGACGCUGAAUAAAUCGAGUUCUUGUUAAGUGAGCUGCACAAGCUUUCGGAAACAGAAGUUGACACCAUGCGAUGAAACGGAUUUGAAUGUCCUGACUAACUGCAUGUUAUAAAUUCACUCGCUGUCUUUGUGUAGUAAAAACAUUGUUUUAUUGAAGAAUAACAAGAAAUAGUGAAUCAAUUUUUAUUACAUUGCUUUCCCAUUUUAUCUGUAAGCAUUCUAUAACAAUCUUCUUUAUAAAGCCAUGAAAAUAAUAUUUCAUACACAUUACUUUGUACUAUAUAAAUCGCGUGUGACAUUGACAUUGUGAUGAUUUAUUUAUGA